UACGAGGGGGGCGAGCGUUGUUCGGAAUUAUUGGGCGUAAAGGGUGCGUAGGCGGUUCCGCAAGUCCUGUGUGAAAUCUUCGGGCUCAACUCGAAGUCUGCACGGGAAACUGCGGGGCUUGAGUGUGGGAGAGGUGAGUGGAAUUCCCGGUGUAGCGGUGAAAUGCGUUGAGAUCGGAAGGAACGCCCGUGGCGAAAGCGAGAUCCUGGACGUCUUCUGACGCUGAGACGCGAAAGCUAGGGGAGCAAACGGG
rnacentral:rRNA from 1 species